UAUUUAAACUGAACAGAGAUGACAUAACUGAAUUCAAUGAUGAACUGCCUUUAACUAUCAUUUUGCAUUAUUGAGACACUGUUUUCCAAAUGAAUGUUGUUCAGUGCUUUGACGCAAUGUAUUUUGUUUAAAGCACUAUAUAAAUAAAGGUGAUUGAUUGAUAUUUAGCGUUGUAAACGCGCGUGUGAGUGGCGGAGACGCACCGUGGAACGUCAGAUACGCUGAGGACCAAACACAGCAGAAUGGUAGGAAACUUCACUCCUCUUAUUAUUUCUCUUUUCCUAUAGCGAUUUAUUUUUAGAUACGUGAUCUGAGUCUUUAAUAAAGUUGCAGAUUUAUUAGAGUAAUAGUUAUUUUUACAUUCUUUGGUAAAGUUUUCAGGUCGGGACCUUCGGAGCCUGUUCACGACUCGGUUGUUUCAGAUCGGCACUUCGGAGCCUGUUCGCGACUGGGUUGAUUCAGAUCGGCAAUUCGGAGCAUGUUCGCGACUCUAUCGGCACUUCGGAGCCUGUUCGCGACUUGGUUGAUUCAGAUCGGCACUUUGGAGCAUGUUCGCGACUCGGUUGAUUCAGAUCUGGACUUCGGAGCGUUUU
rnacentral:lncRNA from 1 species